CUUGUACUCCCUCCGUCCGAAAAUACUUGUCAUCAAAAUGGAUGUAUCUAGAUGUAUUUUAGUUCUAGACACAUCCAUUUUGAUGACAAGUAAUUCCAGACGAAGGGAGUACUUG
rnacentral:pre_miRNA from 1 species